rnacentral:rRNA from 1 species
ACAUGCAAGUCGAACGGAAACGAUGGGAGCUUGCUCCCAGGCGUCGAGUGGCGGACGGGUGAGUAAUACUUAGGAAUCUACCCAGUAGCGGGGGACAACUCGAGGAAACUCGAGCUAAUACCGCAUACGCCCUACGGGGGAAAGCAGGGGAUCUUCGGACCUUGCACUAUUGGAUGAGCCUAAGUCGGAUUAGCUUGUUGGUGAGGUAAAGGCUCACCAAGGCAACGAUCCGUAGCUGGUCUAAGAGGACGAUCAGCCACACUGGGACUGAGACACGGCCCAGACUCCUACGGGAGGCAGCAGUGGGGAAUAUUGGACAAUGGGGGCAACCCUGAUCCAGCAAUGCCGCGUGUGUGAAGAAGGCCUGCGGGUUGUAAAGCACUUUCAGUAGAGAAGAAAAGCCUACGGUUAAUACCCGUGAGUCUUGACGUUACCUACAGAAGAAGCUCCGGCUAACUCCGUGCCAGCAGCCGCGGUAAUACGGAGGGAGCGAGCGUUAAUCGGAAUUACUGGGCGUAAAGCGCGCGUAGGCGGCUUUGUAAGUCGGAUGUGAAAGCCCUGGGCUCAACCUGGGAAUGGCAUUCGAUACUGCAGAGCUAGAGUAUGGUAGAGGGAAGUGG